GGGGAAUCUUGCGCAAUGGGCGAAAGCCUGACGCAGCGACGCCGCGUGAGCGAAGAAGGCCUUCGGGUCGUAAAGCUCAGUCAUUGGGGAUGAGAUGACAGUACCCAAGGAGGAAGCCCCGGCUAACUACGUGCCAGCAGCCGCGGUGAAUACGUAGGGGGCGAGCGUUGUCCGGAAUUACUGGGCGUAAAGGGUGCGUAGGCGGCCCUUUAAGUCGGAUGUGAAAGCCCGCGGCUUAACCGCGGAAUGGCAUUCGAAACUGGAGGGCUUGAGUGUCGGAGAGGGUAGUGGAAUUCCCGGUGUAGCGGUGAAAUGCGUAGAUAUUGGGAGGAACACCAGUGGCGAAGGCGACUACCUGGACGAAAACUGACGCUGAGGCACGAAAGCUAGGGUAGCAAACA
rnacentral:rRNA from 1 species